UCAUUUUCUUCACUCUCCACUCCCUCACACUCUCCUCCUCUCCUCCACCACGAAAUGCUGCUCCUCCUAGCAACCAUGGCCGGCCAUGGCCAUGGAAACCUCUCCAAGAUGCAACUCCCUCCUUCCUCAAGCUUCCCCUCACCAUGAGAGCUUUCCUCUCCCUCUCUUCUCCCCUAACCCUAGAUGAAUCCAGGUCUAUUUCUCCUUUCUCCUCUCACUAGAUUGGAUCUUGAUGCAGGUGCAUGUUGGUCCAAGCAUGGAGAAGGUUGAGCUAUCCUCAGAUCUGAAGUUCUUGAGCAAAAUCCAAAUCGAGUGAUUCAAAGUUCCGCAGAUAGGUAUUGAAAAGAUCUACAACUUGGCGUUGGUCUCAUCCUCAAAUUUGUUACGGAUUUUGCAUGAUCAAAAUCUGGUCAGAUCUGACUUUGUCGAAUUAAACCUGGAGCUUGGCAAAGAAUUUUUGAAUGAAACCAACUGGGGGAUGUUUGGUUUAUACCAUGGUGAUAACCGAGAGAGGCAAUUGCUAAGUUGUGAUACUCUCAUACCUUUACUAGAUACGCACGAUUCCGGAGAAGAAGAAGAAGUGGAAUCGGACGAGGAUUUUAUUUAUGUUGUUGGGAUUCUUAUAUUGAUGGAGUUGAAGAAGUCCAGGGACAAAUAAGCCAAGGCAAGCCAUCUUUUGAUCUCUGAUUUGGUGUCUAGUUGGAUGUCAUUUGUUGAUGUCCAAAGCACCUUGAAUUCUAUGUAUGUUAUUCUCUCUAUUUAUGUCAUCUAUGUGUGUUUCCAAGUGGGGUACUCCCAAGUGGUGAUACUCCACCUUUGUCUUGUGAUUAUGGGAUACAUGGCAUCAUGGCCGUGCUACUCCCAUUGGUUAUCAUGUAUGCCCAACUUGAGCAUGCAUAAUCUCAAGAAAAUAACUUACAUCACACCCACCCCCUUUGUAGUAUAGAAGUAUCUAUGUCAUGAUCUUGGUGUAUUCUCAAAUUGAGAGGAGUAUGCCGUGUACCCUAUUGGAGAGUAUGUUGGAUAGUAAUACUCCACUAUCUAAGUUGUAUAGUUACCACCACAAAUCUGAGAGUAUAUUCCUCCUUGUGUUGUCUUAAUACAUGCUUACCAUAAGCAAGUAUGAUUCACUCCACUACACCUUUAUACCCCUCUAUGGCGUGAUGACUCUCAUCUCGGCCGUAGUGCAAUAGUAGUUCAGCUCAUGAAACUUUAGGUUGGGAACCCCUCAAGGUUUACCUUGUUGUAAAUGUUUAUGAAAACCUUGGGUGAGGCAAUCUUACCCAAGCGUAUGGUUUAUGAAAGGAAAGGAUCUUGACAAAGAUGGUUGGAAAGAGGAAGGUGUGUGUGACUUGGGUUUUUGAGAAAAAACGACACAUGGUUCUUUGUAUUCGCCCGGAACAACUAAACAGCGCAACCAUAGCUACUCCAACGUGGGCGCGGGGCUUAACUUGACGUUUGUUCUUCUUAGCAUGAGGCACCGCACAACUAUACAAGGGUACGGUUACCCCCGAGUCCGGGUUGUCAUGGUUGGGACAAUAGUAUAACGGGAGGCCUUCGGGGCUGACCCGUCCGGAAGACACUAUGGGUCUCCUGGCUUGGCGGUGGAGCCACGCUCUAGAGGAGGUGAGCUGCCACGGUGCCGGGGAGGUACAUACUCCAUAGGGUAGGACCUCGUGUUAAGUCGAAUGGGCGAAAGGUUAUGUCCGGGUAUCCGUCGUUGCAUAUGUCGUUAUGCGGGGAUGAUGCCCACACGAUAGGUAUCCGGAUAGUUGUGGUGAAAGUGUGCAAACUCUGCAGAGUCAAAACUAUUCGAAUAGCCGCGUCCGCGGUCAUGGACGGUUGG